AUGCUAUGAGUCCUGGAGAGAUUUGAGAGGGUCAGAAGCUUAGCUGGAUUCCAAAGGAAGAUAUGAAGUUUUUGUUCAUUCUCUAUGAAGGAAGAAGUUGGGGAAGAGAAGAAAUCAGGAGGUCAGCAUAUUGUCAGUCAGAGCUUCCAUGUCAGCCACCUUGGGAAGGAAGAAG
rnacentral:lncRNA from 12 species